CCUACGGGGGGCUGCAGUGGGGAAUAUUGGACAAUGGGGGCAACCCUGAUCCAGCCAUGCCGCGUGUGUGAAGAAGGCCCUCGGGUUGUAAAGCACUUUCAGUGAGGAAGAACGCCUGGUGGUUAAUACCCAUCAGGAAAGACAUCACUCACAGAAGAAGCACCGGCUAACUCCGUGCCAGCAGCCGCGGUAAUACGGAGGGUGCGAGCGUUAAUCGGAAUUACUGGGCGUAAAGCGCGCGUAGGUGGCUUGAUAAGCCGGUUGGGAAAGCCCCGGGCUCAACCUGGGAACGGCAUCCGGAACUGUCAAGCUAGAGUGCAGGAGAGGAAGGUAGAAUUCCCGGUGUAGCGGUGAAAUGCGUAGAGAUCGGGAGGAAUACCAGUGGCGAAGGCGGCCUUCUGGACUGACACUGACACUGAGGUGCGAAAGCGUGGGUAGCAAACAGGAUUAGAUACCCCUGUAGUC
rnacentral:rRNA from 1 species